GAUGAACGCUAGCGGCAGGCCUACCACAUGCAAGUCGAGGGGUAACUAGAGUGAUAGCAAUAUUACUUUGGCUAGACCGGCGCACGGGUGCGUAACACGUAUGCAACCUACCUUAUACUGGGGAAUAACUUCGAGAAAUCGGCGCUAAUACCCCAUAACAUUGCGAAGAGGCAUCUCUUUGCAAUUAAAGCUCCGGCGGUAUAAGAUGGGCAUGCGUCCAAUUAGCUAGUUGGUAAGGUAACGGCUCACCAAGGCUACGAUUGGUAGGGGUUCGGAGAGGAUGAUCCCCCACACUGGUACUGAGACACGGACCAGACUCCUACGGGAGGCAGCAGUGAGGAAUAUUGCGCAAUGGACGAAAGUCUGACGCAGCCAUGCCGCGUGCAGGAUGACGGCCCUAUGGGUUGUAAACUGCUUUUGUACGGGAAUAAACCCUUCUACGUGUAGGAGGCUGAAGGUACCGUAAGAAUAAGCACCGGCUAACUCCGUGCCAGCCGCCGCGGUAAAAC
rnacentral:rRNA from 1 species